GAAACCGUGUACGUACAAGCAGUGGGAGCCUCUUAAUGGGGUGACUGCGUACCUUUUGUAUAAUGGGUCAGCGACUUAUAUUCUGUAGCAAGGUUAACCGAAUAGGGGAGCCGAAGGGAAACCGAGUCUUAACUGGGCGUUAAGUUGCAGGGUAUAGACCCGAAACCCGGUGAUCUAGCCAUGGGCAGGUUGAAGGUUGGGUAACACUAACUGGAGGACCGAACCGACUAAUGUUGAAAAAUUAGCGGAUGACUUGUGGCUGGGGGUGAAAGGCCAAUCAAACCGGGAGAUAGCUGGUUCUCCCCGAAAGCUAUUUAGGUAGCGCCUCGUGAAUUCAUCUCCGGGGGUAGAGCACUGUUUCGGCAAGGGGGUCAUCCCGACUUACCAACCCGAUGCAAACUGCGAAUACCGGAGAAUGUUAUCACGGGAGACACACGGCGGGUGCUAACGUCCGUCGUGAAGAGGGAAACAACCCAGACCGCCAGCUAAGGUCCCAAAGUCAUGGUUAAGUGGGAAACGAUGUGGGAAGGCCCAGACAGCCAGGAUGUUGGCUUAGAAGCAGCCAUCAUUUAAAGAAAGCGUAAUAGCUCACUGGUCGAGUCGGCCUGCGCGGAAGAUGUAACGGGGCUAAACCAUGCACCGAAGCUGCGGCAGCGACACUAUGUGUUGUUGGGUAGGGGAGCGUUCUGUAAGCCUGUGAAGGUGGCCUGUGAGGGUUGCUGGAGGUAUCAGAAGUGCGAAUGCUGACAUAAGUAACGAUAAAGCGGGUGAAAAGCCCGCUCGCCGGAAGACCAAGGGUUCCUGUCCAACGUUAAUCGGGGCAGGGUGAGUCGACCCCUAAGGCGAGGCCGAAAGGCGUAGUCGAUGGGAAACAGGUUAAUAUUCCUGUACUUGGUGUUACUGCGAAGGGGGGACGGAGAAGGCUAUGUUGGCCGGGCGACGGUUGUCCCGGUUUAAGCGUGUAGGCUGGUUUUCCAGGCAAAUCCGGAAAACCAAGGCUGAGGCGUGAUGACGAGGCACUACGGUGCUGAAGUGACAAAUGCCCUGCUUCCAGGAAAAGCCUCUAAGCAUCAGGUAACAUCAAAUCGUACCCCAAACCGACACAGGUGGUCAGGUAGAGAAUACCAAGGCGCUUGAGAGAACUCGGGUGAAGGAACUAGGCAAAAUGGUGCCGUAACUUCGGGAGAAGGCACGCUGAUAUGUAGGUGAAGCGACUUGCUCGUGGAGCUGAAAUCAGUCGAAGAUACCAGCUGGCUGCAACUGUUUAUUAAAAACACAGCACUGUGCAAACACGAAAGUGGACGUAUACGGUGUGACGCCUGCCCGGUGCCGGAAGGUUAAUUGAUGGGGUUAGCGGUAACGCGAAGCUCUUGAUCGAAGCCCCGGUAAACGGCGGCCGUAACUAUAACGGUCCUAAGGUAGCGAAAUUCCUUGUCGGGUAAGUUCCGACCUGCACGAAUGGCGUAAUGAUGGCCAGGCUGUCUCCACCCGAGACUCAGUGAAAUUGAACUCGCUGUGAAGAUGCAGUGUACCCGCGGCAAGACGGAAAGACCCCGUGAACCUUUACUAUAGCUUGACACUGAACAUUGAGCCUUGAUGUGUAGGAUAGGUGGGAGGCUUUGAAGUGUGGACGCCAGUCUGCAUGGAGCCGACCUUGAAAUACCACCCUUUAAUGUUUGAUGUUCUAACGUUGGCCCCUAAUCGGGGUUGCGGACAGUGUCUGGUGGGUAGUUUGACUGGGGCGGUCUCCUCCUAAAGAGUAACGGAGGAGCACGAAGGUUGGCUAAUCCUGGUCGGACAUCAGGAGGUUAGUGCAAUGGCAUAAGCCAGCUUGACUGCGAGCGUGACGGCGCGAGCAGGUGCGAAAGCAGGUCAUAGUGAUCCGGUGGUUCUGAAUGGAAGGGCCAUCGCUCAACGGAUAAAAGGUACUCCGGGGAUAACAGGCUGAUACCGCCCAAGAGUUCAUAUCGACGGCGGUGUUUGGCACCUCGAUGUCGGCUCAUCACAUCCUGGGGCUGAAGUAGGUCCCAAGGGUAUGGCUGUUCGCCAUUUAAAGUGGUACGCGAGCUGGGUUUAGAACGUCGUGAGACAGUUCGGUCCCUAUCUGCCGUGGGCGCUGGAGAACUGAGGGGGGCUGCUCCUAGUACGAGAGGACCGGAGUGGACGCAUCACUGGUGUUCGGGUUGUCAUGCCAAUGGCACUGCCCGGUAGCUAAAUGCGGAAGAGAUAAGUGCUGAAAGCAUCUAAGCACGAAACUUGCCCCGAG
rnacentral:rRNA from 1 species